UGGAUGGGGGGAGGAAGGCCUCAAAGGGGAUUCAAUAUCACUCAUGAAAAGCCUUUUCCAACCUGCUGUCUCUCACAAGCACUAAAUCUUCAGCAUGAGGUUAUCAUUUGCAUGAACUUACCCAUCACCUUGUUGAUGUACUAAAUAUACACAUCUCAGAGUCUUCAAAUGGUAGCAUAUUUUUUAAAAAGUGUCCUACCUUUCCACAAGCUUAAGUUACCCUUUAAUUAAAAAAUCUCGUCUUCACAGAAGACACACACUUCACAGGUUGUAAAUUUACCAAAUAAUUGCAAUGAAUAUGUAAUAGAAAACAGGAGGUGUGGUGGUGCAGCAGGUAGCAUUGCCCAAUCAUAGCUCCAGAGCUCCUGGUUCGAACCUGAGCUCAGGUUACUGUCUGUGCAUGUUUUUCCCUUGUCCAUGCAGGUUUGCUUCAGGUUCUCUGAGGUCUAGGUCCUCCAGGAAUUCAGAUUUUCUCCCACCUCCAAAAACAUACCAGUAAGUGAAUUGGCUAAGAUAACUUGACCUUAAGUGUGAAUGUGUGUGCGAAUCGUGCCCAGGAAUGGACUGGUGUCCCGUCUAGGGUGUGUUCCUGCUUCACGCCCAGGAUAGACUCCAGAUCCACCGAGACCCUGUCCAGGAUAAAGUGCUUACUGAAAGUGAGAGAGUGAGGUCGUAAACGAAACGAGUUUAGAUAACAUGGACAUUCAUCAUUGUUUGCUGUGUCUAAAUUCUUCUUUUAAAUCAGAUGUUCUUAAAUCCACCUGAUCCUGCUCACGAAAGGCUUGAUCUUUUGCUGAUUAGUGGAUCAGGAGAGACCGUAAUGGCCACUGCAGUUGAGAAACCAUGUGCUAAAACAUCUGAAAAAAACACAGUAGGUACAUGUGUCCUUAAGUUUGUGUUGAUUUUUGUGUGUAGGUUUGUAUGUUAUAAUUUAGAUAAGUACAACGUUUACAUCAAUCAUUGAUAUGGAUAAUAAUGUUCAUAUUAAUAAUAAUAAUAAUAAUUGUAUACCCUUCCUUUUCUUACUUGUAUUUAUUCAUUAGCUGAUUGCUUUAAAAGCUGUAAAGCUCACUCCAGCAGUACUAACCACAAUGUAAAGAUUCUUAAAAGUGCACAAGACCCAGAUAUGCCAUGCCAUAUUUUUGGAAAUAUACAGUAUUUAUAUAUAUUAUAGGCACUAUACAUAGACACCAGCUCUGGGUCUCUGAGCCUGGUAACUAGAACCCUUCUGAUAUUAAGAGCUCAAAAACAAACAGCCCUGUAAAAUAUAUAAUCUGUUGUUAUUUUAAUUUUAAUGUAAUUGUGUUAUUGGGAACAUGGAUUCUCUUACUGGUCAGUAGUUACACUUCUGAAAUCAUUAUAUAUAUCUGGCAUAAACAACACAUCAUGUUUUAAUUGUGAAAUAAAGCUUUGUUUAAUACAAUAAUGGUCUUUUUCAAGGACAAAUGUGUUUAAGGAUUUUUUAGUGAAGGUCAUAAUAUCAGAAAUAUAACUGCAAGAGACUGCUUCUGAGCUACUGAAGUUAUUUAUUAAAGGAAUUUCUUAGGCUUGACAUAGGCUUGGCAGAACUGAUAUAUUUAUUUUGGUGGCUUUUAUAAUAUACUAAAAACUGGGAAAUUAUGGAACUGCUCAAGGCAUACCCUAAAGACGCAAGAAUAUGAAAAUGUCUCCUAUGAAUAUUUUAUAACUUAACAUGUAGUAUAUGUAGACUGUAUGUAACUGUAUACUGUAUAUAACUAUAACUCAGCAUGGUCACAUGAAUGAAACUGGACUCAUUAAAAUGUGCAUGAAUUUCCAAAUGAUGAUUUCAAGUAGUGGUUUAAACAAGAAUAACAAUUUAUAUUGACAAAAAUAAAUCUUAUAUGAAUGUUUAAUGUUGCCUUGAUAGAAUGUAAUGCAGACAUUACAAGCUAGCAAACGUCAGUAAACAUCAACCAAAAGAUGUUUCUGUAGCUGUAUUAGAAUAAAAUAAAACUUUUAUUUAACCUUGUUGUAUGAGCUAUAUCUUAGACACAAAAUCAUCUAGAUUUACAUGCUUCUUGAUGAGUAUAAGUUGAAUAAACAUACACUGGGAAAGGUGUGGGAGGAACAGGUUGCUUGUGUAUUAGCUUAAGACUCAUAAAAUUAGAAUAGACUAAAACAUACAUUGAAAUGCUUUUCUCAUAGAGCAUUUUACAAUAUCACUAAAAUAAGAAAUCUGCAGAUUCAUAAUUGACACUACAAAAAGUACUGAAUACAGCUUCUGUAUUUGAAAUACUGUCAUAGUUGAACAACAGUGAGGCACUAUUGAUACACGUACAGUAUAUGCCAAUAAAAUAACAUGAAAUCUAUCAGUUAAUGCUAAGAGAAGGGAACAGCAUUGAAAAUUCAGAGUACUGAGUUUGUUAUCGGUUACACAGGCUGCAGUAGUCCGAUCCACUAAACAGCUGAUGCAACGGCUGAAACCGUAUCGGGUCACCCGUGCCAUUAUAUAAAUAGAAAGGUCUAAUUUCCGCUUGGUGAUAUAUAACGCAGGUAUCUCCUUACAAAAAGCCCUCCCUCCGGGGGUGGCUGUGCGCCUCUGCAGUGCCUCCUGAAAUCCCUCAACCCUUAAUCCCCUUAGCAACAAGGGUCUGUUUCUCUGCUUAGACUGAAGUAGGCCUCUGAGGCCUAGUGUAUGCCUCAGCCUGUAGGCCAAGAGCCUCCUGUUUACAAUUUCCCUAUUCCUGUUUUUAAUGUUGCUCUGAGAGCAGCCACAAAGGGCCAGUUUUGUCUAGCAGGAACAAGGGAGCUAUUAGAGGAGAGAUGGAGGGAGGAAGGAAGGAAGGGGAGAUUCAGCGAGGGUAGGAGGAGGAGGGAAAUGGGUGCCCCAGGGGGGAUUAGCUAGUGCAGCUGCUCCCUUUGGGGCAAGAUAUGAGAGGCAUUUUUAUAUCAGGAAAUAUUACAAUAAAGGACACUUAGGAUACAAGUCCAUGUGGGAAGAGGGACAGGUUAUGAGUUUUUGCACUUCAUGCCAUGCCAAUGCAAAUGCAGGGUUAUCAUUUUGGCCUCGUAAACAGGAGGUCAUCGGCUUUGAAUUGUUUCCUGAAGAUAUGACUGAGUGGAUCAAUAAGGCAGCACACAAAGCGCAUCUGUCGGAGCCCACACAAGUGAUAGUAUUCAUCAGAAGAUCCAGAGAGGAAGUGUGUGUGUGUGUGUGUGUGCGUGUGUGUGUGUGCAUGUUUUCACUGUAUAAUAUCUACUGUAUAUUGUCUUUAUGGAUUUAUUUUAUUGCUAUAACAAUGUUUUUGUUGGUCCAAAUGAUAAGAAAGCUUAAUAAUAAAUCAGUUAUAGAAAAUUUUACCAAGUUUAAAAGUCUGUAGUUUUUUUCUAAACUCUAAAAUUAUGCUCCAGGUAGGCAAACAUUUAAUUUAUUUUUGUUUUGAAGGUAUUCCUGUAAUUCUUAAAGAACACUUACACGCUGGUUAUCUGAAAAGCUCUUACUACAGACUACAGUAAGGACUUGUACUAAUUGUUUGUCAGAGUCAUGAACCAGCAUGACAUCCUCACUCCUCUUACAAAAUGUACAACUGCUGUGACAAAUUUGUGUUGUUUUUUAAAAUAGGAAAGAAGUGAAGCCUCGUUUUCUGGUGUUAUCUCCUGGGUUUGUCCCUGGGGAAGCGCAGGACCAGGCGAAUCAUGCAGCAGGCUUGACGGUGGAAAAGCACCAUGAGUUUUUCCUCUCUCCAUAUGGCAGCCAUUUGUCUUGAGGAGUUCUGCCGGACAUAAUAUGAAAAAAAGGAGCAGAACUCACUGGGACGUGAUCUCUGGAGGCCUGGUGUCCUUCACAUCCAAGAAAAGAGAGAGAGAGAGAGAGAGAGAGAGAGAGACUGCCUGCAAGUAAACGGUGACAUACAUGUCUGGAGAACUCAUGUAGGCCUUAAUAAAAACAGGCCCAGGAAACUAAUUCCAUCUGUUUGUUUGGAGUUCAUACUGGACUGGAACUAUCAGCAAAUCAUGAAAUGACAACGAAAAAAAAAGAAUUAAAUGAUUUAGAUGUAAAGUCAAGGAGAUGAGCGUCAAUCCAGCUUAACGUUUCAGGCAGUGUUCAGGCAAGUUCUGUGCUAAAACCCAGAAGGUUGUGAGGUCAAAUCCACUAUUAAGCCCUUGAGCAAAACUUUUAACCUCCAAAGGCUCAGCUAUGUGCUUGGAUUAUGUUCUGUUGCUUUGGAUAAAAAUGUCUGCCAAGUCCAUAAAUGUAUAUUUUCAGCUAGAAGCACUGAUUCAGGGAAGAAAAUACUGAAUAAUGUACCAUCGCUUUUAUCUCUUUUUUCUUUUCCCCCCUCUGUUUUGACUUUCUCUCCUCAGUCUGUUCCAGACCCUUCCAUGUGUGCAAAAAGGAUCAUAAUUAACAUUUGCCCAAUUCGCUAAGGGACAUGCAUUCUAAGCCCUUCCUUCCUGCUGCAAGUGGAAUUCUCAUUAAGUCGUAACUACUUUUCAAGAGCAACAUUCCUGCUCAGAAUGCCAGGUCUUUCCAGCAGACCCAGCAAAAAUGAAUUUCUUAACUGUGAUUUAAUUGUAAACUGCUUUGAUCUGUCAUGAAAUCACGUAAUAAAGUAAGGCAGAGGACCAUGUCUCUUUAAGAUGUUUUGGAUGACAGGUUAUAACUUUCAUGUAGAGGCAUCAUUUCUAAAUAAAUUAAUUUUUUCAUUUUCACAUUUGGACCGUACAUUUCUUUUUCUUUUAAAAAUCAGUUUUAUCAAAGGGAGAGAGAUUGCUUGAUUUGUUCAGUUAAGAGCCUGGGGAAUUUUAGCAUGUUUAUUCUUAUUCUGAGUAAAACGGAUGCCAGGGAUCUGUUGGAGCAACCUGAUGCUGUCCCUUUCCGUGCUCCUCAGUGCUGGCCACAUUCUCUCUCCUCUUACCUGGACUGAAUGGAGGAGACCGGCCUAAUUAGAAUUCAGCACUUCCCUACUUGGCUGGCUCAUUUAGUAAUUUGUCUGGCUCCUUUCCUCCUUCCCUUCGGCCUGUAAAAUGAUCCUUCUACAUAAUUUGCCCCAACCCCCCUGCCAACUUCCCCCGAAAGGUGGAUGCUAAUCCUGUAAGAACCACAGAGAGGAAAGCUGGAGGCAGAAAAUCUAAACAUGGAAGGCGGAAGGCAGCCUCGUCUUGUGGAAGGGUACAAACAUACCCACGUGCACAACGAAGUGUGUAUGAAAACCACCACCGUCAUAGCGAGCGAGCUGAAGAUCUAAACAUUAGAUAUGCGUUAUCUGAGUCAUGUUAGCUUACUUUCAAAUUGUAAUUAAAACACUGGUCGCAUAAGUUCACAGAAAUAAAGCCCAAGGAAACUGUUUUCUACAAUGUGAUUUUGUUGAUAAAGUUGGCAAAAUUUGCAAGAAGUCAUCAUGUCUUUCUGCUUUUUCUCAUGUUGGCUCUCGUCCCAUGCUGACCAGCAGCUCACUGGGGCAUGGGGAUGACCGAGGGGCCAAACAGGGACCGGAGGCACGCUUCUAGACUUGUGGAUGAGGCAGAAAAUGCAUUAUGGACUGUAAUGGUUGGCUGAUCGCUCCCAUUCAUGCCAUGAGCUGCUCACAAAAGAAGCAGGGCUGAGUUCAAAUAAUACCUAAACCUAACCCCCUCCCGGGCCUGUUUAGAUGUUCAUGAGGCACUAUUGGUGGCAGGACAGAAUGUGUGACCGCUAUUCUGGGCCUGGGGUUAUGUACCAGCGGUGAACAGCAGGCUGACUUCCUGUGUUCUAUAGAACAUGCUGCUCACUGCCAGGAAGUGAAGCCUGAAAGGCGGAACGUAGAUGCAGCGUUUAUCAUCCAGACAUACUCAGAACUUCAGGAAGCGUUUCAGUUUUUUUUUUUUUUGCAAACAUUUAACAUUUUUAACGAGCUUUAGUUCAUUUGUAGAUUAGAUUAAUCAAUAGCUUGUGAUCAACAGUAACCCUGGAAAUGGUUUUUGGUUGUUCAUUCUUCAAGAGUGCACGUCCAAGGCAUGUCAGGAAACUUUAAGACACGAAACAACAUUUUUCCCUUCUGUUUUUAAAGAACACUAAUCUCUUAGGAAAUAUAGACUGGGUGUCACUACCACAGCCCUGUUCCUGUCUCAUGUUCCAAAUCUCCCUGACUCAGUCCCUGAUUGUUCUAUCCACUCCUUCUUCAAAUGGAAAUUGUAUUUCCUAUUACUAUUGCUAAUAUUUGACGUAAAAGAAGUCCACAUGAUGUAAUAGUGAUCAUAGGGCUACUGCUUUUUAAGGUGGAACUGGUGUCUGUUUUUGUAAAAAUAUCUCAUACACAACUCCAGAUUCCUCCUACAGUUUCCUCUGAUUGUUUCAUGUGGACAGAUGCAGUGUGUCUUUAACAGUGACCUCACAAGUUCAGACUUUAUUAGUGAAUCACCUAAGGCUAUUCUUAAAUCCUUUGUUUGCCAAAUGCAGGUGUUUACUGAGAUUUUUUUCUGACGAUCUGGUAUCAUGUGUUCUUCCUACUUAAGUGUUUUUAUGUGUAAUGCAACAACAAACAAGAUAACACUGUUUCAGUCAAUUAUAAAAACAAUUACAGAUUAAUACACACUGAAAAAUGCCUCUCCUCUCCUCUCCUCUCCUCCAGUAUCUGCUCUCACCUCUUUGCCUUUCUUUUCACACAUGUAAGUUUACUGAUCCCAAGACAUCGGCAGAAAAAGGAUGUUGAUGCACUCUGGCUUACCUUUCUCUUUUCCCAAAGCGUCUCUCUCUCUCUCUCUCUCUCUCUCUCUCUCUCUCUGAUAUGUGUGUGUGUGUGUGUGUGAGACUGAUAUCAGCACUUGGAGACUAAAUGGAGCUGUACUUCAUCCUGGCUGUUUGCUAGGCCCAGCUGGAAGACAGCGCUUACAGCCCAACCUCAAAUUCUCAUUUGGAAAACAGAUAAUACAGAGCUUCAGCUGGACGCAAUGGAUUGAGGGUCCAGGGGGAGUGGAGGGUUCGUGGCUGAUAAGGCUGAUGUCAUUCCUAAACUUCCUGUGGAUACAGAACUACUGUCAGAGCUGCUGUUCUGGAAAAUUAAUCAACACCUUCAGAUUCGAGAAAUCAACUGCACUGUGGUAUGAAGAGAUAUUAAAACAAACUCUGAAAUGUUGGUUAGUCUGGACAGCAGAUGUGUGUUAUAUAUCUUAUCUAUGUCUAUAUCUAUAUCUCUAGCCUGACAGCUUUCAAAUGAAGUUAUGAUAUGAAAAGUUAGUUUUUAUGCUUUUAAAACAUGCAUGCAAAUAAAAGUGUUUUUUUAUUUAUUUAUAGAACAUGAAAAAUUUCAUGACAUUUAGCAGGAAGGCUGUAUAACAUGCACCAUGGUGAUUUAUUUAUUUUUUUGGUGAUUUAAGUGUUUAUGUGCAGUAUGUAUAUCUUUUGUGCAAUAUAUUUAUGUGCAAUUGUAUCAUAAUCUCCACCUAAUGAUUAGAGCGUUAAAGAAAAAGUGUACAACUGAAGACCCGAGACUGACACACACUGCACAGACUCUGAGACUUGAGACUUCACUCAGACUUGUGAAAAGUGACUUGUGAACAUCUCUGUCUUAAGGAAACUCUUUUUAAAAGAUUGUACAGUGUACAUUCUUAAACAUAAAGGAGCCUGAAAAUGUUCUUUAGAGUGCUGCCAUAGAGAAAAUGAACAAUUUUAUGGUUUCUUAAAGAACCAAAAUGUGUACAAUAAUAUUUUUCUAUUCAUUGGAACCACAGAGCUUUUUUAUUCUUGAACUAUCCGCUUACUCGAGUCCUGGGUGUAUUCCUGGCUUGCACCCAGUGUUCAGGAUACACUCCAGACUCACCGCAAACCCUGACCAGGAUAAAGCAGUUAUGAUUGUGCAUAGCUACAGUUGAGAAUUGUAUACCUACAAAGUGACCUACAAUGUAAGUGUAUAUAACACAAAAUGGCAAAAAAAAAGUGUAUACACAAGGUUGGUGUGCCUAAUAAACUGGCAAUUCGGUAACUGGGUUUAACUUGGUCUUUCUGUUCUUUUCAUAACCAUGCUGAGGUUGUUCUUGUCUAUUCUUCUGUUUUAUUGAAGCAUUUAAUUCACUCA